AUUCCAGCUCCAAUAGCGUAUACUAAUUCUGCUGCAGUUAAAAAGCUCGUAGUUGAAACUUGGGCCUGGCUGGCGGGUCCGCCUCACCGCGUGCACUCGUCCGGCCGGGCCUUCCUUCUGAAGAACCUCAUGCCCUUCACUGGGCGUGCUGGGGAAUCAGGACUUUUACUUUGAAAAAAUUAGAGUGUUCAAAGCAGGCCUUUGCUCGAAUACGUUAGCAUGGAAUAAUAAAAUAGGGCGUGCGUUUCUAUUUUGUUGGUUUCUAGAGACGCCGCAAUGAUUAACAGGAACAGUCGGGGGCAUCAGUAUUCAGUUGUCAGAGGUGAAAUUCUUGGAUUUACUGAAGACUAACUACUGCGAAAGCAUUUGCCAAGGAUGUUUUCAUCG
rnacentral:rRNA from 1 species